AGAACGAACGCUGGCGGCAUGCCUAAUACAUGCAAGUCGAACGAACUCUUCGGAGUUAGUGGCGCACGGGUGCGUAACGCGUGGGAAUCUGCCCCUUGGUUCGGAAUAACAGUUGGAAACGACUGCUAAUACCGGAUGAUGACGAAAGUCCAAAGAUUUACCGCCAAGGGAUGAGCCCGCGUAGGAUUAGCUAGUUGGUGAGGUAAAGGCUCACCAAGGCAACGAUCCUUAGCUGGUCUGAGAGGAUGAUCAGCCACACGUGGGACUGAGACACCGGCCCAGACCUCCGUACGGGAGGCAGCGAGGUAAGGGAAUAGUUGGAACAAGUGGGACGUAAGCCUGACUCCGAGACAAUCGCCGCGU
rnacentral:rRNA from 1 species